GCCAGGGAAUUAAAGUUCUAAGAGAACUAGCUUGACCACUCUCCUGCCUGGGUGGCUUCCUGCACUGGGAUGCCAUCUCCCACGGGGUCUUCACCAAAGCUGAGCAGAAGGGGCAUCACGUGACCUUGAGCUUCAAGACCUUCUUUUUUUGUUUGUUUUUUUGGUUGUUUUUGUUUUUAGAGACAGGGUUUCUCUGUAUAACCCUGGCUGUCCUGGAACUCACUUUGUAGACCAGGCGGCCUCGAACUCUGAAAUCUGCCUGCCUCUGCCUCCCAAGUGCUGGGAUUAAAGGCGUGCGCCACCACACCGGGCAAGACCUUUCUUAAUAAAGUUAGCCAGUUUCGAAUAUUUUGGUAUUAUAAGAAAGAGCUGAGUUAAUACACUGGAGGCUUACAAGGUGACGCUUUGGGGUGGAGUGAUGGAUCUGAGGCUUGUGAGUUUGACUUCAAGGCUUUGCUUUAGCCACAUGCCAUCUACAAGUGCUCCCUGGUCAUCCUUUGCCCUCUUGUCUGGGGCUUCACUUUGACACUUCGCUCAACCUUGGCUGCCUAUUACCUUGUAGGACCUUAGUUGUUGUACUUCUGUGGUGUUCAGUGUUUGCCACCUCUGACUGAACUGCUUUCUCAGUGUGUUCUCUAAUCCUCCAGGUCGAGCGGGUAGGUACCGGUUAGUCAGAUCGUGCACGGCAUUACUUAUUUAUGCCCCUGCUCAGGACAGCCUGGCGGUAGUUGCACACACACAGCUAAUUUGAUUCUGUCACUUGUGCCUUAUACCAGUGUUCUACCUUCUUUCUGAGGCUGAGAUCUGACAUGCUGUAAAUCCUCUUUAUCCCUGUCAUCUGGCUCUAAAACCCCUUUGCCCUUGGGCUGUAGCUCCUCCCACCUCUGCUCCGUAACCUCCGUCCUCUCCUGCGUUCGCCCUCCAGGCCCCGCCCUCGUUAGAGGUCCAGCCAGCGGUGCUUGAAGGAGCAGAUCCUUUCCGAUAAGGGAGAGCUGCUUCCAGGUUCUCCUUUAAAUCAGUUUCAAACCUGCUCUGCUCUGCUGUGUGAGCGAGCCUGGGUUCUACUACAGAUUCCUGAACUACAGACCAUGAUUGGAAUUCCUUUCAACCUUGACUUCCGAAGAAGACCACCAUGGAAAUGGAAACCUGAUUUCACCCCAGUGCCAGAAAUGGCCCUGCAGCUGUGGAGAAGCAGCGUCUAUGCUGUGUAGAAGGGAGUUUGCUGCUCCACGACAGAAUCACUGCAAGUUAACCAGUCAUUUGGAGAUUAAAAAACCCAGGAAAUUGGUUUUCCUUUCCCGGCUUUAGGACAAUGAGGAAUCAGUUGGAAAAUUGGUUAUCUUAAGAGUUCUAGGCUCAGCUACCUGGAAGGGUGUUUAUUUGUACAUUUUACUGAAAAAAAAUGUCCAGUACUUGUGUUCAAGAAAUGAUGGCAUACAGAAUGGCUUAUUAUGAAUUGAUAACUAAAAAAAGAUAUUUACUUCUGAGAUACAAAGCUCUCCUGGACAUUGGUUUCAUUUAAGUUAAAAGUAAUGCAUAAAGCCAUCCACUCUGACAUCUGUAAACUAGUCAUUUUGAACAAGGAAUUUUUAUUAAUGGCUCUUCUGGGAGGAAACAGAAUGCCAAUUGGGGGAAGUUGAAGUUUGUGUAAUAGUUCUGGAGGCCCCGUGAAAUGAUUCUGUACAUAACUGUAUUGUCUAAAAAGUCAUAAAUUAAUAGAACUCUGCCUUGACAAGAAUAAAAUGUUCACACUCAGUGUGUAACUGAGUGCAAACAUAUUUAAUAUUAUUUAACUUUACCAUGCCUUUAUCUGCAUAGGAAUUGUCUUGAUGUGUUCUGGUGUAAAGUAGACUUGAAUAUAUAAAAUACACUAACAUUCGUUUUUCACAGCAUUGGACAUUGAGCCUGGGCCACAUGCGGCGAGCAAGCCGUGCCUUGAGCUGCCCACAGUUCCACGGUGUAGGAGAAUAUGAUGCAGUUGUUGGUGGGUGAAUCCCUUGUGGUGAUUGUUGCCCCAGUUAUAGAAAGUUAUACAAAGUUGUCUGUGGGUGAAGACUGUGUGUGGAGAGAUACCCAUGUCUUUUAAUUUUAAUACCCAUGUCUUUUAGUUUUGCUGGGUUAAAAUAGCACCACUUGGUUACCUGAUUUAGUUAAACAUUAGUCCAAGUUAAAAAGUAGUGUGUCGUUCAAGAUCAUCUAAACUGAAAACACUUUGCUCCUUCUUUCCCCAGUGACAUGACAGUUCUGAAGAGUUCACAUUUUAGUGUCCAUAAGUAAAGUUUAACUGAGACAGAGCCUGUCCAUUCAUUUCCGGACUGCCUGUCUUCCCACUGUGAGUCCUCAGGGUCUUUUAAAGGAAGUUUAUGGGAGUAGCCUAAAGAAGGAAGGAUUUAUUUUGGCCUAUAGUUUGCAAGGUUAUAGCUCAUUGUGAUGGGGAAAGCAUGGCAGAGUUCAUGGCUCUGUGUGUGUGUGUGUGUGUGUGUGUGUGUGUGUGUGUGUGUGUUCUCACACCGCUCCCAGUUAGGAAGCAGAGUGAGCCAGAGGGGACCAGAGCUGGUCUCUAACCCGAAAGAUCUACCUCAGUAGCUUGUACCGCAGAGAAGCCUCACACGUCACCCCAGCUGUGACUGUUCAGACACAAGCUUGUGGAGGACAUUUCAGGGGCAAACUAUCUCAGGGAGACAUUUUUGAGAACCUGCUCCUCCUAGAGUCCUGCCCACCUCUAAGCAGUGCAUUCUGUCGUGCGGCCAUGGGGCCAUGGACCAAGUCAAUCAUUUGCUUUCUAUUCUGGGCACUUGAGUUUUCUGCCCCAUUGGUCAGUAUGUCUGGCUUCAUGCACUAACAAGCUCUCUGACUAGCCUUAUCCCUGUGAUGGGAAAACAGGUUUGUUGGGGAUGCUGAGGGCAGUGUGUGUGUUUUUUUUCUGUGUGUUUUUUCUGUGUGUGUUGGUAAGUUGUAACCUCUGUGACCUGUUUCUAAUGCUGUCACUUAAGAGGUGAUUAUGUUAGUGAACGUUAUGAGAGUAGCGUGCAUCAUCCAACAUUUCCAGCAACUUACAAUUGACAGAGAUGCCAGUACUUUAUCCUAACUUUCUGCACUGUUUGCUAUGAGCCAUGCAUCUACCUCUUAAGGCUCUCCACGUCUUUUUAGUUAAUAUGUCUGCUUAGUCUGUGUGUGCGUGUUGCACGGGUUGUCUUCAAGGUCUUCCCCCUCAUUUGCUCUCGGGCUUAGCCUUGGAGGCAGGGUCCCUCACUGAACCAGGAGCUCAGUGAUGGGGUGGGGCCUCCUGGCCAGCAAGCCCCUCAGGUCCUCCUGGCUCCGCAGUGCUGGACCCACAGGCGAUUUACUGCAUUUCCUGCAGCCGAUUUGUAUGUGGGUCCUGGGAUGCGAACUCAAGUCUUCAUGCUCGUGUUGCACGCACCGUAGUGACAGCCAUCUUCCCUGCCUCAUCUCACUUAACUCUUACAACAGCAUCUGGGGGUGGGUAUGUUCAACUGCUCUAGUGUUAGAGUCCUAAUUUAAUUUGCUGUUGUGGUCAUUUAAAAUAAAAUCUGCUGCUUAGUUAUUCUGCGGCCUCUCCUGACACUGAAGCCCUCUUCUUACCAUGGCACAGCGUAAUACUGCUUUUCCCACCCACUCGCAAGGAAGAUCCUCCGUUGUUCUAGUGAGGACAGGCCUUUCCAGCCGCGCUCUUCUCUUUCUUUGAGUUUUAAGUUUGUUAUUUUUGGACCGGUGAUAGCUAUAGAGGUGACACAAAUCAGACGAAUAAAGUUACGAUGCUGUGAGGUGGGACUGGGUUCUGAGCGUCCCCAGGUUCCUUACUGUGGCCUUGGUCUCUAGUGGGGCUGCAUUGGUAGUGGGGUCUCGAGAGGUCCUCAGUCAGGGUUGCUGCAUCUGAAGGGGAUGAGGCUGUUCUCUUGGGACCUAGUCCUUCUUGCCAGACUGAUGGCUACCAACACUGGAGCUCGAGCCCUGUCCUCCUGUGGCUUCCUGUCUGGCCCUUCCUCUUGCACAGGCUCCUGCCAUUGUGAUUCUGUCCCUGGGGGUCCUCGUCAGAGCCCAGCUGAUGCUAAUGUGAACUCCCAGAACACUGAGGUGUCUAAACCACUCGUCUCUACGAAGUUUCCCAGACUCAGAGAGUUUACUAAAGUAACAAGAAUUGUACAGAUAGAUGUAUUCACUGUGAUGGUUUGUAUAUACUUGGCCCAUUUGGACACUAUUAGGAGGUGUGGCCCUGUUGGAGGAAUUGUGUCACUGUGGGUGUGGGCUUUAAGACCCUCAUCCUAGCUGCCUGGAAGUCAGUAUUCUGCUAGCAGCCUCCAGAUGAAGAUGUAGAACUCUCAGCUCCUCCAGCACCAUGCCUGCCUGGAUGCUGCCAUGUUCCUGCCUUGAUGAUAAUGCACUGAACCUCUGAACCUGUAAGGCAGCCCCAAUUAAAUGUUGUCCUUGUAAGAGUUGCCUUGGUCAUGGUGCCUGGUCACAGCAGUAAAACCCUCACUAACGCAUUCAGUGAGAAGAAAUCUUCCAUUGCUCUUAGAACCCAUUUCUCUUCCCAAAGGGAACAUGCAAGUUAGCUGUAAAAGAAACCCAUUUCAUACGACUGUAGCGUCACUUUACACUGACUUGUUUGGCCUGAGAGAUUGUAUGAUCCAUUUGUAUAUACACUUGCCUUUUCAUAUCCUUAUUUUGUGAGUGUACUGAAUUUUUAAAAGCACUUUCUCAUUUA